rnacentral:rRNA from 1 species
ACACCUGUUCCCAUCUCGAACACAGAAGUUAAGCUCCUUAGCGCCGAUGAUACUUGGUGGGAAGCUGCCUGGGAAAGUAGGACGUUGCCGGUU